CAGUACACAGCAUCAACACCACCGCGUACAACAAACAACAACAGCUCCAACACCCAAUUUCGACCCGAAAGCAACGGGAAAACCCAAACAAAAUCAACAAAAAUUCAAACAAACAAUGACUCUUAAAUCACGGGAAUCAUCUCUCUUCACCUUAUCUCUGCAAUUUUGCAAGCCUACGAGCCAUCUUUGUUGACUUUUACUUAAGAUUGAGUGUUUCCAAUUCCAAAAUCCAAUCCCAAAUCAGGAAGGUCAGUCCAAAUCCGAAUUUUAGGGGAUGUGUUCCUCCAUUUUGAAGAUGAAACCUCUUAUAAAUAGAGGAGAUUGAGAAGAAAAGAGAGGAUUUUGGGGGAAAAUUUGGGGUUCUGAAGGUGCUUGCCUUUAACCUCACGAAACCAAAAUUCUCAAAGAGCCUUCGAAAGAUUGAAAUUCGACGUUCUCGUCCAAAUUCUAUUGGUUAGAAUCAACUCGAGGUGGUGGAAUUUCAUUCGACUUAAAGCUCGUCGUCCCGGUGUCAUUGCCCGAAAAUCGGUAAGGCUCCAUUCUUUUUCCAUCUUCCUUUUUUUUAGUCGUGAAUCUUGACGCUGUUAUGUAUUCUGUUUGUAGCUGAGAUUGGUCGAAUUUCCAUGAAGUCUUGGUUGUUGUUGGACGUAAUGGUGUUUACAUGGUUUGAGUUUGAAAAGCUUUAGGCUUUAGUGGUUGUUUCUCUUUUAAAAAAGAAAAUAUAUGUGUUCUGAGAUUUAGUGACUUGCAUGCCGGCAUGUUGAACGUUUGAAUGAACAGAUUGUGGCCUGGUGUUUAUGUGUUCAUAUGCGCAUUGUUCCGUUACUGUGAAAAUUGCUUGGUUUUGUUUGUCGUUAACAUCGGACGGUUCAAUUUCACUUAAGAUAUUGCGCCUACUACUGUUAGACGUUGCAUGUGUGAUAGAGUUGUGUUGAAAUUUGCUACUCAAUAAUCCCACUAUAGGUUACUGUUAGACGCUUUGGCGCCCUUUUGUUGUUGUUUUCUGUACAUAUGAUGGAAUCAUACAUAUGGUCAACCCUACAAAAGCCUUCGUGAAGGUGGAUCGAUUUUCUAAUGAGAAACAAAGGUGUACACUUUGGUUAUUAUGAAAUUAAUGAUCUCCCCAUUGUCACCCAAACGUGCUCCACAAAUUUACAUCUCAUUGGACACAAGUAUACAUUCUUUGCUUCACGUUCUCCUCUCUCCGCACAAACAGAAAACAUACUGAAAAAAUAAACUUUUACUUUUGGCUUAAUUAGAGAAGAUGACUUCCUUUCCAAAUUUGGUGUUUAUUUAUCUCUUCUUUUGGUUUUACUACCAAUGUUAGCUGCAAAAGAGGAUGAUAUUCCUCUCGUUUUGCUCCCUACUUUGGUAUACAUAUCUCUUCUUCUAGCUUCCUCAUCUUUUCACAUCAUCUUUUUUUUGUUUGUAAUUCGUUUUUCUGAUGUUAAGUAGUACAAUUAUUUAACUCAUUAUAUCUAGUUUUUAUUCUAUUUUCUGAUGAAGAGUCACCUUUUGUAAAUCAACUUAACACUUUUAUACCAGCAGUGCAAGAAUUUAGCUUUUACAAACUUAUAGUUAAAAUCUAAUAAAUAAAAGUUGAAAGUACUAUAUUUUGCAUAUGUUUAAGAGCCUUGGCAUUUACUAGCUCAAUUGUUUUAGCCAUUCCUUCGCAUAUUCGAAUUAGUUAAGCUUUAGUUAGAGUCGAAUCUAUGCGAGUUGACUCCAUUUGCAUACCAAGGUUGCUGCUUCGGAUUAUUGGCACAAGAGUGUGAUUAAUUCAUGAUUCCAUUCCAUAUUUCUUGCCAUUUGUUGCAAAUAUAAUGAAAUAUAAAUGGUGAUCGCUUGAUUGUAGUUAUUCGAAUCUAUUGAAUAUUUUGCCCU
rnacentral:lncRNA from 1 species